CAUGAGGGCGAUUCCGUUUAGAUACACGCUGUUUAGAUUUAUGUUACUUGCACUCUGUUUCAGUUACACAAGUAAUAGCACGACCUGCAGCAGCUGUACUGUUAAGUUACCAGGCAGCGUUCCAUCUGGAAACUCCUCAUAGUGACCUUUCCUUUUCUGCGUUGGAUGCUUACAGAUGCCCUCUUCUAUGCCCGGAGACACAAUGGUGCAUUUCCUAGUGGAACCGCUUCAAAAAGGACUCAGCAGAUCUCGUUUCUCUCUGAACCUCCGAGUUGGAGUCUGAGCUGGCUGAAUCAAUACACCGUGCAAGAAACUGACUGAAUGG